GGUCGACACAGUAAACCACCGCAACUGACGGACCCGCUGUGAGCAUACAAUCCGUCAAUCUCGCCACUGGCGUGUACCGCCUAAAAAUCUAACAGUCUUAAUCCAAACAACCAUUUCCACUCACCAACAAUAGCAGUGCUAUCAACGUUUUCAUUUCUUAUUUCGGUAAUGCGUACCCUUUACGUAUGGUUCCCACCUAUAUCGAUGACCAUGAAACUCUUUAUCGUUGUAAGCACUACAUUGAGA